AAACACGUGAAUAAGCGCCUAUAUGGAUUGACAGAGAGAUACCGGUUGGUGGAAGGUAUUGAAUCCAGCAUUCCAGCGCAAUAGUGGGUAGUGAUGAACUACACGGUUCCUGGCCGUUAUCAGUAAUUGAGGGCACCUAUUAUUUGUAGUGGGUGAACUUGGGUGGUACCGCGAAUUGAAGUCUUUUCGUCCCAAUU
rnacentral:ncRNA from 2 species